rnacentral:rRNA from 1 species
UCAAAAAUUUUAAACUUUUGCAUUUAAAUUUUAUCUUAAUCCAACAUCGAGGUCGCAAACUCUUUUUCUUAUUUGUACUAAAAAAAAAAAUUACGCUGUUAUCCCUAAGGUAAUUAAUUCUUUUAAUCAUAAAUUAUGGAUCAUAGUAUCAUAAAUUAAUGUUUUAAAUUAAAAAAAGUUCAUUUAAUUUUUCUAUCACCCCAAUAAAAUAAUUAUUUAAAUUAAAAUUUAAUUUAUAUAAAAAUUAUCAAAUUACAAUAAUUAUAAAACUCUAUAGGGUCUUCUCGUCUUUUAUAGUUAUUUUAGCUUUUUAACUAAAAAAUUAAAUUUUAUUUUUAAUAAAGAGACAGUUUAUAUUUCAUCAAAUCAUUCAUACAAGUCUUCAAUUAAAAGACUACUGAUUAUGCUACCUUUGUACAGUCAAUAUACUGCAGCCCUU